rfam:Atopostipes suicloacalis DSM 15692 genome assembly, contig: EJ15DRAFT_scaffold00001.1
GGGGUUGUUCUGGAUUCGACAGGCAUAGGUUGAGCUUGAACUACGUUUUGCAGGUGAUGACUGCACCAACAACGUCACAGUUUAAACUUAACUGACAAACAAGAAAAUAAUUUUGCUUUAGCUGCGUAAGCAGCCUUUAAGCGAUCCGAACUAGUAUCGCCCAUGUGCUAGCUAGGGUCUCAAAUUAGAAGUGGGAUACGCUUAAUCCUUACGUCUGGAGACUUAAGAAGAGACUAAACGGACUAGCAAAGCAUGUCGCCUGUUAUAUGGCGUAUGUGGCGCGAAACCUCUAAAUAAUAUAACUAUGAACGUAAACGUUGAAGUGACAAUAUGUCUGGACAGGGGUUCGACUCCCCUCAACUCCAUAA